AUUGAACGCUGGCGGCAGGCUUAACACAUGCAAGUCGAGCGGGGGAGGUUGCUUCGGUAACUGACCUAGCGGCGGACGGGUGAGUAAUGCUUAGGAAUCUGCCUAUUAGUGGGGGACAACAUUCCGAAAGGAAUGCUAAUACCGCAUACGCCCUACGGGGGAAAGCAGGGGAUCUUCGGACCUUGCGCUAAUAGAUGAGCCUAAGUCGGAUUAGCUAGUUGGUGAGGUAAAGGCUCACCAAGGCGACGAUCCGUAACUGGUCUGAGAGGAUGAUCAGUCACACUGGAACUGAGACACGGUCCAGACUCCUACGGGAGGCAGCAGUGGGGAAUAUUGGACAAUGGGCGAAAGCCUGAUCCAGCCAUGCCGCGUGUGUGAAGAAGGUCUUCGGAUUGUAAAGCACUUUAAGUUGGGAGGAAGGGCAGUAAGUUAAUACCUUGCUGUUUUGGCGUUACCAACAGAAUAAGCACCGGCUAACUUCGUGCCAGCCGCCGCAGUAACAC
rnacentral:rRNA from 1 species